UAAAUUUGUAAAAUGGAAAAUAUUUCUUAUUAUAUUGGGUGUUGUACACGCGCCACAAAAACCGCCUUCCACCUUCAUAGCAGAUCGUGUAUAAAUUUCAUUUUACUUAAAUUUAAAAAGUUCAGUUUAAUUUGCUGUUUUCUUCUGCUCUAAAUUUUUCUUCUUUCUUCAAGUCCUCGUCGUUUUAGUCUUUUAGCUUCCUUAAUUUCCCCCAUCAGAUCUUCAAACCCUAACCCUAAUUUUACAUCAAAAUCCGGUCCAAUUAUGUUCAGAAGCAACGAUCCCAGACUCCACGAUGCCGGCUCUUAUCGUCCGCGCCGAAGUGAUUUAAUGGGGCAUCCAUCAAUGAUGAUUCCAUCAGGUGGUGGUGGUGGGCCCAGCUAUGGCCGUGGUGGUCCAACUCCUUAUGGUGGUCCUGUGGUGGCGGCACCGCCUCAUAUGGUGGGGGGUGAGUGGUUUGGAGAUGGUGGUGGUGUUGGGUUUAAUGGAUAUGAUGAGAUUGGGCAUGGUGCUGGAAGAGGGUUUGUGGCCGGCCAUGGAGGUGGUUUUGCUGACCGAGGCAGAGGUGGCGGAGGUUUUAGUGGUAGGGGUUUCGAUCUUGGUCGUGGUGGAGGUAGGAGUGGGGGUUUUGGCGGUGGGCGGGGUGGAGGUCGUGGUGGGAGAGGAGGUCGAGACGACUUGGAUAAUAUUACUCUCACGAAGCCAGAUUUUAGAGGCUUGAUCCCGUUUAAGAAGGAUUUUUAUGUGGAGAGCCCUUCUGUGAGGGCAAUGACUGAGCAAGAAGUUUUGAUGUAUCGUGCACAUCGGGAGAUCACUGUUGAAGGCCAAGAUGUACCGAAGCCAGUACGGAUGUUUCAUGAAGCAAAUUUCCCCGAUUACUGCCUUGAGGUUAUUGCUAGAUUGGGUUUUGUUGAGCCUACUCCUAUCCAAUCACAAGGAUGGCCGAUGGCUUUACGGGGUCGAGAUCUGAUAGGAAUUGCUGAAACUGGUUCCGGAAAGACUUUGUCAUAUUUGCUGCCUGCUUUUGUUCAUGUUAGUGCUCAACCUAGGCUGACACAAGGUGAAGGUCCGGUUGUAUUGGUGCUAGCACCUACCCGAGAGUUGGCUGUUCAGAUUCAACAAGAAGCUGCAAAAUUUGGAUCAUAUGCAAAUAUAAGAAGUACUUGUAUAUAUGGUGGUGCUCCAAAAGGACCGCAAAUUCGUGAUCUGAAAAGAGGAGUUGAAAUUGUCAUUGCUACCCCUGGAAGAUUGAUAGAUAUGUUAGAAUCUCAACAUACUAACUUGAAAAGAGUGACGUAUCUUGUGUUAGAUGAGGCUGACCGCAUGCUAGAUAUGGGAUUUGAACCCCAAAUCAGGAAAAUUAUUUCUCAGAUUCGUCCAGAUAGGCAAACGUUGUACUGGAGUGCCACAUGGCCAAAGGAGGUAGAAACUUUGGCAAGACAGUUCCUGCGCAAUCCUUACAAGGUUAUCAUUGGGUCGUCGGAUCUGAAAGCAAAUCAAUCUAUACAUCAAGUUGUUGAAAUAAUGACUGAUAUGGAGAAGUAUAAUAGAUUGAUCAGAUUGCUGAAAGACUUUAUGGACGGAAGUAAAAUUUUGAUAUUUGUUGAGACAAAAAAAGGAUGUGACCAAGUCACGAGACAGCUGAGAAUGGAUGGAUGGCCAGCUUUGUCCAUACACGGUGACAAAAGCCAGGACGAAAGGGAUUGGGUCCUAGCCGAUUUUAAAAGUGGCAGAAGUCCUAUAAUGAUUGCUACUGAUGUUGCUGCUCGUGGUCUUGGUAGGAUUAGUCUUAAAGUUUAGGUUUUAGUAUCUCAUUUUUGGUCUGAAAACGACAUGUUGGCAAAGUCAUCCGGCUGUUAUCCAUGUUCCUGAGAAUUUUGUGGUUUGGGUACCGAGGUUCGUGUUUUAGGAGUGUCGUGGCUUUUAGUAUCAUUGGACGAAUCAAAAUCGAUUUGGAGGGUAGUUAUUGCACUAUAAUAUAUCAAGUUGCUAGCGUUUGAGAGUAUAUUAUAGGCUAAUGAUCUUUCAUAGGAUUCUUGAAAAGUUGUCGUUAAUGUUUCAUUCUUUGACGCAACAUAAUCCGAGGACGAGCAUUAGAUGCAGUAAUUGGGUAUUUCGUAAUAUAGAAUCGUCUACAGAUUGAAGCUGAAGUGCCCAUCCACACUUAGGGAGGUGGUAGUUGUGACAGCCGGUUGACUCAAUUGUGAAAUUUGAUUGGACAAUGAUUCUUGAAAAUUGUGGAUGAGAGAGCUGCUCCUUAUCCCUGCAAAAUUAAGAUGUGAAGGACAUAAAAUGUGUGGUGAACUACGAUUUUCCAUCGAGUCUUGAGGACUAUGUUCACAGGAUAGGGCGAACUGGUCGCGCGGGG